rnacentral:rRNA from 1 species
CAAGAAUAAAAGUAGUUAUUAUCUUCAUAACUCAAAGAAUUUGGCGGUUAAUAAAAGUUUUUAGAGGAACCUGUAAUAUAAUUGAUAAUCCACGAUAGUUUCAACUUAAUUUAUAUUUGUAUACCUCUAUGGGUUAUAGAUUCUUUUUUAAGAAAAAUUUUCUUUUAAUAUAAUUGUAUAUUUUAGGUCAAGGUGCAGUUUUAGUUAAGGAAUUAUGGGUUACUUUUUUAAUUUUUAUUAAUUAACUAAUUAAUUAGUUAAUUAGAUUAGGAUUUAAAAGUAAAUUUAACAAAUUAGUUGAUUUGAAUAUU